rnacentral:rRNA from 1 species
GCGGGAUUACUCCUACGGGAGGCAGCAGUGGGGAAUCUUCCGCAAUGGACGAAAGUCUGACGGAGCAACGCCGCGUGAGUGAUGACGGCCUUCGGGUUGUAAAGCUCUGUUAAUCGGGACGAAAGGCCUUCUUGCGAAUAGUUAGAAGGAUUGACGGUACCGGAAUAGAAAGCCACGGCUAACUACGUGCCAGCAGCCGCGGUAAUACGUAGGUCCCGAGCGUUGUCCGGAUUUAUUGGGCGUAAAGCGAGCGCAGGCGGUUAGAUAAGUCUGAAGUUAAAGGCUGUGGCUUAACCAUAGUACGCUUUGGAAACUGUUUAACUUGAGUGCAAGAGGGGAGAGUGGAAUUCCAUGUGUAGCGGUGAAAUGCGUAGAUAUAUGGAGGAACACCGGUGGCGAAAGCGGCUCUCUGGCUUGUAACUGACGCUGAGGCUCGAAAGCGUGGGGAGCAAACAGGAUUAGAUACCCUGGUAGUCCACGCCGUAAACGAUGAGUGCUAGGUGUUAGACCCUUUCCGGGGUUUAGUGCCGCAGCUAACGCAUUAAGCACUCCGCCUGGGGAGUACGACCGCAAGGUUGAAACUCAAAGGAAUUGACGGGGGCCCGCACAAGCGGUGGAGCAUGUGGUUUAAUUCGAUGAUACGCGAGGAACCUUACCAAGGUUUAAAUGGAGACUGACAGGUGUAGAGAUACGCCCUUCUUCGGACAGUUUUCAAGGUGCUGCAUGGUUGUCGUCAGCUCGUGCCGUGAGGUGUCAGGUUAAGUCCUAUAACGAGCGCAACCCCUAUUGUUAGUUACCAGCNAAGUAAAGUUGGGGACUUUUAGCAAGACUUUUNGGGNCCU